AGUUAACGCUGGCGGCGUGCCUAACACAUGCAAGUCGAGCGAGCUUGUAGCAAUACAAGUUAGCGGCAAACGGGUGAGUAACACAUGGGAAACCUCCCUCAGAAUGGGGAACAUCUCCGAGAAAUCGGAGCUAAUACCGCAUAAGACCACAGUCCGGCAUCGGACAGGGGUAAAAGCAGCAAUGCGUUUUGAGAUGGUCCUGUGUCCUAUCAGCUAGUUGGUGAGGUAACGGCUCACCAAGGCUAAGACGGGUAUCCGGCCUGAAAGGGUGAACGGACACACUGGAACUGAGACACGGUCCAGACUCCUACGGGAGGCAGCAGUGGGGAAUUUUGGACAAUGGGGGAAACCCUGAUCCAGCGACGCCGCGUGAAGGAUGAAGGCCUUCGGGUUGUAAACUUCUUUUGGAGGGGACGAAUAAAUUGACGGUACCCUCAGAAAAAGCCACGGCUAACUACGUG
rnacentral:rRNA from 1 species